rnacentral:lncRNA from 1 species
AUAUCUCUUCUCUGCAAAGGCUGCUUGCUCUCUCUCUCUCUCUCUCUCUCUCUCUCUCUCCCCCUCUCCCUCCCUCCCUCUCCCCUCUUUCCCCCUCUAUACUGAAACACCCCUGUGUCUAGGAGGGGCUUCUAGUGUAGCCAGAAGAGGCACAAUCUUGCAAGAAAAAGAAAAAAAAACUAUGUCUAGGACCCCAGCUUGUGGGACAGUGCUUCCCACAUUCAGGGUGGGUCUUUCCUCCUCCGUUUAACCUCACUGAAAACUUCACAGACACACCAUGCUUCCAUGGAGAUUCCAAAUCCAAUUAAGUUGACACUUAAGAUUAAGCCUCCUGGCUGCCUUCCACUCUUGUCUCCUGUGUCACAGCUGAGUGCAUCUAUGAUUUGAAUGAUGAUCACAUGAGCUACCGAGAGGACAGGCACGUGCAACAGGCACGUGCCACCAUUUUUCUAAGGAUGUUUGAAGACAGGCUGUGGAAUGUUGUCUCCCUAUUGUGGCAGCCAUUACCACCUUCAUCAGGGCAGCUGUGACUACUCUCAAGAGACCCUCAAGAUUUGACCUGCUGACCUUUUUCUCAUUGAAGGAGGGGCCGGGGAGGGUUAUUAAACCCUUAGUUGAGAUUUCAUCCAG